rnacentral:lncRNA from 1 species
GCCUUCAGGUCCUUUCAAUGACCUCCUCUAACAGUAUGUCGCCGCCCGAGUCCGCUAUGUGACUGUACUUGAAGGUGGGGCCUCUGAGGAAGGGGUUAAGGAUAAACGAGGCUAUAAGGGUGGGUUCUAAUCCUUAAGAUUAGUGUCCUAGUUAGAAGAGACCCCGGAGCCAAGCUCGCUGUCCGCCCGGUCAGGGCACAGCGGAAGGACUGGCAGCCACAAUCCGGGAGAGCCCUGCCAGAAACCCGCCCUGCCAGCCCAGGAUCGGCGCCCUCCAGCCUCCAGAACUUUGGCUUUGCAACCGGGUUAUGCCAAUUUUAUGUCGUGGAUGGGCACGUUGGAGCCCCUGGCAUCGCUGCAGAGAAUAUUUCAAUGUGAGAUCUAUGUAUUGUGUCCAUUUUAUUAUAUACAAAUGAAUAAAUGAAUGCUAAUUAGUCAGUCUACAUGGCUGACAAAACAUACCCUUGAAGCUCUUUUCUUUCCUACCUCAUGCUUUGGGCAGCCGUGGAGGUGCCCCUCUCAGACCUCCCUUCAAGAGAAGCUGCUGUGAGAGUGUGGUUUGUGGAGAGCCUCC